UACAGAGGUCUCAAGCGUUGUUCGGAUUCAUUGGGCGUAAAGGGUGCGUAGGUGGCAUGGUAAGUCGGAUGUGAAAUCCCGGGGCUAACCCCGGAACUGCAUUCGAUACUGCCAGGCUAGAGUACUGGAGAGGAGAUUGGAAUUUACGGUGUAGCAGUGAAAUGCGUAGAUAUCGUAAGGAAGACCAGUGGCGAAGGCGGAUCUCUGGACAGUUACUGACACUGAGGCACGAAGGCCAGGGGAGCAAACGGG
rnacentral:rRNA from 1 species